rnacentral:rRNA from 1 species
UGAACGCUGGCGGCGUGCCUAAUACAUGCAAGUCGAACGCAUUGUGGUUGAAAUGAUAUGAAGAACUUGUUCAGAUUUGAUUUUCAACAUUGCAAUGAGUGGCGAACGGGUGAGUAACACGUGGGAAACCUACCUCUUAGCAGGGGAUAACAUUUGGAAACAAAUGCUAAUACCGUAUAAUAAUUAAAACCGCAUGGUUUUAGUUUAAAAGAUGGUCUUGCUAUCACUAAGAGAUGGUCCCGCGGUGUAUUAGUUAGUUGGUGAGGUAAUGGCUCACCAAGACAAUGAUACAUAGCCGAGUUGAGAGACUGACCGGCCACAAUGGGACUGAGACACGGCCCAUACUCCUACGGGAGGCAGCAGUAGGGAAUCUUCCACAAUGGACGAAAGUCUGAUGGAGCAACGCCGCGUGUGUGAUGAAGGGUUUCGGCUCGUAAAACACUGUUGUAAGAGAAGAAUGACAUUGAGAGUAACUGUUCAAUGUGUGACGGUAUCUUACCAGAAAGGAACGGCUAAAUACGUGCCAGCAGCCGCGGUAAUACGUAUGUUCCAAGCGUUAUCCGGAUUUAUUGGGCGUAAAGCGAGCGCAGACGGUUAUUUAAGUCUGAAGUGAAAGCCCUCGGCUCAACCGGGGAAUUGCUUUGGAAACUGGAUAACUUGAGUGCAGUAGAGGAAAGUGGAACUCCAUGUGUAGCGGUGAAAUGCGUAGAUAUAUGGAAAACACCA